rnacentral:rRNA from 1 species
GACGAACGCUGGCGGCGUGCUUAACACAUGCAAGUCGAACGGAAAGGCCCUGCUUUUGUGGGGUGCUCGAGUGGCGAACGGGUGAGUAACACGUGAGUAACCUGCCCCUGACUUUGGGAUAACUUCAGGAAACUGGGGCUAAUACCGGAUAGGAGCUCCUGCUGCAUGGUGGGGGUUGGAAAGUUUCGGCGGUUGGGGGUGGACUCGCGGCUUAUCAGCUUGUUGGUGGGGUAGUGGCUUACCAAGGCUUUGACGGGUAGCCGGCCUGAGAGGGUGACCGGCCACAUUGGGACUGAGAUACGGCCCAGACUCCUACGGGAGGCAGCAGUGGGGAAUAUUGCACAAUGGGCGGAAGCCUGAUGCAGCAACGCCGCGUGCGGGAUGACGGCCUUCGGGUUGUAAACCGCUUUCGCCUGUGACGAAGCGUGAGUGACGGUAAUGGGUAAAGAAGCACCGGCUAACUACGUG